AAAGGGUGCGUAGGCGGGCAAUUAAGUCAGUGGUGAAAUCUUGGGGCUCAACCCCGAAACUGCCAUUGAUACUAUUUGUCUUGAAUACUGUGGAGGUUAGCGGAAUAUGUCAUGUAGCGGUGAAAUGCUUAGAUAUGACAUAGAACACCGAUUGCGAAGGCAGCUGGCUACACAAGCAUUGACGCUGAGGCACGAAAGCGUGGGGAUCAAACAGGAUUAGAUACCCGUGU
rnacentral:rRNA from 1 species